rnacentral:rRNA from 1 species
GACGAACGCUGGCGGCGUGCUUAACACAUGCAAGUCGAACGAUGACGGUGGUGCUUGCACCGCCUGAUUAGUGGCGAACGGGUGAGUAACACGUGAGUAACCUGCCCCCCACUUCGGGAUAACCUCGGGAAAUCGUGGCUAAUACCGGAUAUGAGCACUCAUCGCAUGGUGGGUGUUGGAAAGAUUUAUCGGUGGGGGAUGGACUCGCGGCCUAUCAGUUUGUUGGUGAGGUGAUGGCUCACCAAGACGAUGACGGGUAGCCGGCCUGAGAGGGCGACCGGCCACACUGGGACUGAGACACGGCCCAAACUCCUACGGGAGGCAGCAGUGGGGAAUAUUGCACAAUGGGCGAAAGCCUGAUGCAGCGACGCCGCGUGGGGGAUGACGGCCUUCGGGCUGUAAACCCCUUUUCAGUAAGGGAAAGA